UACGGAGGGGACUAGCGUUGCUCGGAAUCACUGGGCGUAAAGCGCACGUAGGCGGGUUCUUAAGUCAGGGGUGAAAUCCUGGAGCUCAACUCCAGAACUGCCUUUGAUACUGAGAAUCUUGAGUACGGGAGAGGUGAGUGGAACUGCGAGUGUAGAGGUGAAAUUCGUAGAUAUUCGCAAGAACACCAGUGGCGAAGGCGGACUCACUGGCCCGGUACUGACGCUGAGGUGCGAAAGCGUGGGGAGCAAACAGGG
rnacentral:rRNA from 1 species